AAAAAAAAUUGCCUAAAAUGCUGUUCCCAGU
rnacentral:piRNA from 1 species